UGUCUGUAAGGAAUCACUUCAAAUGGUUAACAAAAGCACAACCAGUUUUCAAAUUAUUAAAACUACAUAUAAAUUAUAAAUUCUAGAUGAGGUCAAUGUCCUUUCUUCAACAAAGACUUUUCACAAGCUAAGAAUGUUGAGGACUGUCAAAACAAAGUUUAUGUAUGUAACUAUAAGCAAACGGUAGAGUGGUGCAUUAACAAAAAAAAAAAAUAGAUAUGUACAUAUAUAAAUGUAAAGUAAAAUAUAUUACUGAGAAAUAUUGAAUACUUUAAAAUUUACUCGAUAACACCACAUGAUACCACAGUUCUUGCUAUCGUCUAUAAAUAAAAUGUCAUCGAAGUCAAUUAAAGGUCAACAAUUUAAUAGCCUAUCACUGUCCAUUUUUAUAAAAUUUGAAAUUCAUAUAUUUUUUGGUGGUUCUUACUGACUUUGGUUUCGGUAGCAUUAGAAAAACUUGGAUUGGUUUUCGCCGGAGCAGUAGUGCAAUAUUUGCCUAUUUGUUUACCAGUGGUUGACGUUGAUGAUGAUGGCAAAGGGUUGGAACGUUCAGAGCUAAAAUAACAAACAAAAUAGAAAGAAACAUGUGAAAGUGAAUUGCAAUCAAAAUAUUUAUAUUAUUAUAAUGACAGCUCAACCAAAUAUGAAUUUAAUAAUGUUUUUUAAUUGCAUUUUGCUAUUUAAGGAACUUACAAAAUGCAUUUAGAAAUAUGUGAAAAAAUCGGCAAAUUUUCUUUCAACUUUCAAAACGUUCCGCAUACAGACGCAUAAUUAUAUAUGAAAAAACAAUGAAUAAAAUGUGGUUCAACUUUACCAUA